CGUGUACGGCCCGCCCAUAGCUCCUUCGACGGCGCCGCCUAGGAACGCGGAGAAAAUAUGACAAAGGAACGGCCAAAAAUAAAAAGAAAGACCUUUCUUUUGAAAAAACAAACAAAAAAAAAGGAAUGCAACACGAGGACUUCCCAGGAGGUCACCCAUCCUAGUACUACUCUCGCCCAAGCACGCUUAACUUCGGAGUUCUGAUGGGAUCCGGUGCUUUAGUGCUGGUAUGAUCGCAUCCGACAUACCGUGCGUUCUCCUCCCCUUUAUGCCCGCGCCUCCGUGUACGGCCCGCCCAUAGCUCCUUCGACGGCGCCGCCUAGGAACGCGGAGAAAAUAUGACAAAGGAACGGCCAAAAAUAAAAAGAAAGACCUUUCUUUUGAAAAAACAAACAAAAAAAAGGAAUGCAACACGAGGACUUCCCAGGAGGUCACCCAUCCUAGUACUACUCUCGCCCAAGCACGCUUAACUUCGGAGUUCUGAUGGGAUCCGGUGCUUUAGUGCUGGUAUGAUCGCAUCCGACAUACCGUGCGUUCUCCUCCCCUUUAUGCCCGCGCCUCCGUGUACGGCCCGCCCAUAGCUCCUUCGACGGCGCCGCCUAGGAACGCGGAGAAAAUAUGACAAAGGAACGGCCAAAAAUAAAAAGAAAGACCUUUCUUUUGAAAAAACAAACAAAAAAAAGGAAUGCAACACGAGGACUUCCCAGGAGGUCACCCAUCCUAGUACUACUCUCGCCCAAGCACGCUUAACUUCGGAGUUCUGAUGGGAUCCGGUGCUCUAGUGCUGGUAUGAUCGCAUCCGACAUACCGUGCGUUCUCCUCCCCUUUAUGCCCGCGCCUCCGUGUACGGCCCGCCCAUAGCUCCUUCGACGGCGCCGCCUAGGAACGCGGAGAAAAUAUGACAAAGGAACGGCCAAAAAUAAAAAGAAAGACCUUUCUUUUGAAAAAACAAACAAAAAAAAAGGAAUGCAACACGAGGACUUCCCAGGAGGUCACCCAUCCUAGUACUACUCUCGCCCAAGCACGCUUAACUUCGGAGUUCUGAUGGGAUCCGGUGCUUUAGUGCUGGUAUGAUCGCAUCCGACAUACCGUGCGUUCUCCUCCCCUUUAUGCCCGCGCCUCCGUGUACGGCCCGCCCAUAGCUCCUUCGACGGCGCCGCCUAGGAACGCGGAGAAAAUAUGACAAAGGAACGGCCAAAAAUAAAAAGAAAGACCUUUCUUUUGAAAAAACAAACAAAUAAAAGGAAUGCAACACGAGGACUUCCUAGGAGGUCACCCAUCCUAGUACUACUCUCGCCCAAGCACGCUUAACUUCGGAGUUCUAAUGGGAUCCGGUGCUUUAGUGCUGGUAUGAUCGCAUCCGACAUACCGUGCGUUCUCCUCCCCUUUAUGCCCGCGCCUCCGUGUACGGCCCGCCCAUAGCUCCUUCGACGGCGCCGCCUAGGAACGCGGAGAAAAUAUGACAAAGGAACGGCCAAAAAUAAAAAGAAAGACCUUUCUUUUGAAAAAACAAACAAAAAAAAGGAAUGCAACACGAGGACUUCCCAGGAGGUCACCCAUCCUAGUACUACUCUCGCCCAAGCACGCUUAACUUCGGAGUUCUGAUGGGAUCCGGUGCUUUAGUGCUGGUAUGAUCGCAUCCGACAUACCGUGCGUUCUCCUCCCCUUUAUGCCCGCGCCUCCGUGUACGGCCCGCCCAUAGCUCCUUCGACGGCGCCGCCUAGGAACGCGGAGAAAAUAUGACAAAGGAACGGCCAAAAAUAAAAAGAAAGACCUUUCUUUUGAAAAAACAAACAAAAAAAAGGAAUGCAACACGAGGACUUCCCAGGAGGUCACCCAUCCUAGUACUACUCUCGCCCAAGCACGCUUAACUUCGGAGUUCUGAUGGGAUCCGGUGCUUUAGUGCUGGUAUGAUCGCAUCCGACAUACCGUGCGUUCUCCUCCCCUUUAUGCCCGCGCCUCCGUGUACGGCCCGCCCAUAGCUCCUUCGACGGCGCCGCCUAGGAACGCGGAGAAAAUAUGACAAAGGAACGGCCAAAAAUAAAAAGAAAGACCUUUCUUUUGAAAAAACAAACAAAAAAAAGGAAUGCAACACGAGGACUUCCCAGGAGGUCACCCAUCCUAGUACUACUCUCGCCCAAGCACGCUUAACUUCGGAGUUCUGAUGGGAUCCGGUGCUUUAGUGCUGGUAUGAUCGAAUCCGACAUACCGUGCGUUCUCCUCCCCUUUAUGCCCGCGCCUCCGUGUACGGUCCGCCCAUAGCUCCUUCGACGGCGCCGCCUAGGAACGCGGAGAAAAUAUGACAAAGGAACGGCCAAAAAUAAAAAGAAAGACCUUUCUUUUGAAAAAACAAACAAAUAAAAGGAAUGCAACACGAGGACUUCCCAGGAGGUCACCCAUCCUAGUACUACUCUCGCCCAAGCACGCUUAACUUCGGAGUUCUGAUGGGAUCCGGUGCUUUAGUGCUGGUAUGAUCGCAUCCGACAUACCGUGCGUUCUCCUCCCCUUUAUGCCCGCGCCUCCGUGUACGGCCCGCCCAUAGCUCCUUCGACGGCGCCGCCUAGGAACGCGGAGAAAAUAUGACAAAGGAACGGCCAAAAAUAAAAAGAAAGACCUUUCUUUUGAAAAAACAAACAAAUAAAAGGAAUGCAACACGAGGACUUCCCAGGAGGUCACCCAUCCUAGUACUACUCUCGCCCAAGCACGCUUAACUUCGGAGUUCUGAUGGGAUCCGGUGCUUUAGUGCUGGUAUGAUCGCAUCCGACAUACCGUGCGUUCUCCUCCCCUUUAUGCCCGCGCCUCCGUGUACGGCCCGCCCAUAGCUCCUUCGACGGCGCCGCCUAGGAACGCGGAGAAAAUAUGACAAAGGAACGGCCAAAAAUAAAAAGAAAGACCUUUCUUUUGAAAAAACAAACAAAAAAAAGGAAUGCAGCACCAGGACUUCCCGGAAGGUCACCCAUCCAAAUACAACUCUCGCCGAACCACGUUUAACUUCGAAUUUCUAAUGGAAUCCGGGGCUUUAGAGCUGGAAUGAUCGCAUCCGACAUACCGUGCGUUCUCCUCCCCUUUAUGCCCGCGCCUCCGUGUACGGCCCGCCCAUAGCUCCUUCGACGGCGCCGCCUAGGAACGCGGAGAAAAUAUGACAAAGGAGCGGCCAAAAAUAAAAAGAAAGACCUUUCUUUUGAAAAAACAAACAAAUAAAAGGAAUGCAACACGAGGACUUCCUAGGAGGUCACCCAUCCUAGUACUACUCUCGCCCAAGCACGCUUAACUUCGGAGUUCUGAUGGGAUCCGGUGCUUUAGUGCUGGUAUGAUCGCAUCCGACAUACCGUGCGUUCUCCUCCCCUUUAUGCCCGCGCCUCCGUGUACGGCCCGCCCAUAGCUCCUUCGACGGCGCCGCCUAGGAACGCGGAGAAAAUAUGACAAAGGAACGGCCAAAAAUAAAAAGAAAGACCUUUCUUUUGAAAAAACAAACGCCUCCGUGUACGGCCCGCCCAUAGCUCCUUCGACGGCGCCGCCUAGGAACGCGGAGAAAAUAUGACAAAGGAACGGCCAAAAAUAAAAAGAAAGACCUUUCUUUUGAAAAAACAAACAAAAAAAAGGAAUGCAACACGAGGACUUCCCAGGAGGUCACCCAUCCUAGUACUACUCUCGCCCAAGCACGCUUAACUUCGGAGUUCUGAUGGGAUCCGGUGCUUUAGUGCUGGUAUGAUCGCAUCCGACAUACCGUGCGUUCUCCUCCCCUUUAUGCCCGCGCCUCCGUGUACGGCCCGCCCAUAGCUCCUUCGACGGCGCCGCCUAGGAACGCGGAGAAAAUAUGACAAAGGAACGGCCAAAAAUAAAAAGAAAGACCUUUCUUUUGAAAAAACAAACAAAUAAAAGGAAUGCAACACGAGGACUUCCCAGGAGGUCACCCAUCCUAGUACUACUCUCGCCCAAGCACGCUUAACUUCGGAGUUCUGAUGGGAUCCGGUGCUUUAGUGCUGGUAUGAUCGCAUUCGACAUACCGAUGCGUUCUCAUCCCCGUUAUGCGCCGCGCCUCUGUGUACGGCCCGCCCAUAGCUCCUUUGACUGCGCCUCGUAGGAUCGCGGAGAAUAUAUGACAAAGGCACGGCCAAACAUAAAACGAAAGACCUCUCUUUUGCAACAACAAACAAAAUAAAGGAAUGCAACACGAGGACUUCCCAGGAGGUCACCCAUCCUAGUACUAGUCUCGCUCAAGCACGCUGAUCUUCGGAGUUCUGAUGGGAUCCGGUGCUUUAGUGCUGGUAUGAUCGCAUCCGACAUACCGUGCGUUCUCCUCCCCUUUAUGCCCGCGCCUCCGUGUACGGCCCGCCCAUAGCUCCUUCGACGGCGCCGCCUAGGAACGCGGAGAAAAUAUGACAAAGGAACGGCCAAAAAUAAAAAGAAAGACCUUUCUUUUGAAAAAACAAACAAAAAAAAGGAAUGCAACACGAGGACUUCCCAGGAGGUCACCCAUCCUAGUACUACUCUCGCCCAAGCACGCUUAACUUCGGAGUUCUGAUGGGAUCCGGUGCUUUAGUGCUGGUAUGAUCGCAUCCGACAUACCGUGCGUUCUCCUCCCCUUUAUGCCCGCGCCUCCGUGUACGGCCCGCCCAUAGCUCCUUCGACGGCGCCGCCUAGGAACGCGGAGAAAAUAUGACAAAGGAACGGCCAAAAAUAAAAAGAAAGACCUUUCUUUUGAAAAAACAAACAAAUAAAAGGAAUGCAACACGAGGACUUCCCAGGAGGUCACCCAUCCUAGUACUACUCUCGCCCAAGCACGCUUAACUUCGGAGUUCUGAUGGGAUCCGGUGCUUUAGUGCUGGUAUGAUCGCAUCCGACAUACCGUGCGUUCUCCUCCCCUUUAUGCCCGCGCCUCCGUGUACGGCCCGCCCAUAGCUCCUUCGACGAGCCCGCCUAGGAACGCGGAGAAAAUAUGACAAAGGAACGGCCAAAAAUAAAAAGAAAGACCUUUCUUUUGAAAAAACAAACAAAUAAAAGGAAUGCAACACGAGGACUUCCCAGGAGGUCACCCAUCCUAGUACUACUCUCGCCCAAGCACGCUUAACUUCGGAGUUCUGAUGGGAUCCGGUGCUUUAGUGCUGGUAUGAUCGCAUCCGACAUACCGUGCGUUCUCCUCCCCUUUAUGCCCGCGCCUCCGUGUACGGCCCGCCCAUAGCUCCUUCGACGGCGCCGCCUAGGAACGCGGAGAAAAUAUGACAAAGGAACGGCCAAAAAUAAAAAGAAAGACCUUUCUUUUGAAAAAACAAACAAAAAAAAGGAAUGCAACACGAGGACUUCCCAGGAGGUCACCCAUCCUAGUACUACUCUCGCCCAAGCACGCUUAACUUCGGAGUUCUGAUGGGAUCCGGUGCUUUAGUGCUGGUAUGAUCGCAUCCGACAUACCGUGCGUUCUCCUCCCCUUUAUGCCCGCGCCUCCGUGUACGGCCCGCCCAUAGCUCCUUCGACGGCGCCGCCUAGGAACGCGGAGAAAAUAUGACAAAGGAACGGCCAAAAAUAAAAAGAAAGACCUUUCUUUUGAAAAAACAAACAAAUAAAAGGAAUGCAACACGAGGACUUCCCAGGAGGUCACCCAUCCUAGUACUACUCUCGCCCAAGCACGCUUAACUUCGGAGUUCUGAUGGGAUCCGGUGCUUUAGUGCUGGUAUGAUCGCAUCCGACAUACCGUGCGUUCUCCUCCCCUUUAUGCCCGCGCCUCCGUGUACGGCCCGCCCAUAGCUCCUUCGACGGCGCCGCCUAGGAACGCGGAGAAAAUAUGACAAAGGAACGGCCAAAAAUAAAAAGAAAGACCUUUCUUUUGAAAAAACAAACAAAUAAAAGGAAUGCAACACGAGGACUUCCCAGGAGGUCACCCAUCCUAGUACUACUCUCGCCCAAGCACGCUUAACUUCGGAGUUCUGAUGGGAUCCGGUGCUUUAGUGCUGGUAUGAUCGCAUCCGACAUACCGUGCGUUCUCCUCCCCUUUAUGCCCGCGCCUCCGUGUACGGUCCGCCCAUAGCUCUUUAGUUGGCGCCUCCUAGGAACGCGGAGAAAAUAUGACAAAGGAACGGCCAAAAAUAAAAAGAAAGACCUUUCUUUUGAAAAAACAAACGCCUCCGUGUACGGCCCGCCCAUAGCUCCUUCGACGGCGCCGCCUAGGAACGCGGAGAAAAUAUGACAAAGGAACGGCCAAAAAUAAAAAGAAAGACCUUUCUUUUGAAAAAACAAACAAAAAAAAGGAAUGCAACACGAGGACUUCCCAGGAGGUCACCCAUCCUAGUACUACUCUCGCCCAAGCACGCUUAACUUCGGAGUUCUGAUGGGAUCCGGUGCUUUAGUGCUGGUAUGAUCGCAUCCGACAUACCGUGCGUUCUCCUCCCCUUUAUGCCCGCGCCUCCGUGUACGGCCCGCCCAUAGCUCCUUCGACGGCGCCGCCUAGGAACGCGGAGAAAAUAUGACAAAGGAACGGCCAAAAAUAAAAAGAAAGACCUUUCUUUUGAAAAAACAAACAAAUAAAAGGAAUGCAACACGAGGAGUUCCCAGGAGGUCACCCAUCCUAGUACUACUCUCGCCCAAGCACGCUUAACUUCGGAGUUCUGAUGGGAUCCGGUGCUUUAGUGCUGGUAUGAUCGCAUCCGACAUACCGUGCGUUCUCCUCCCCUUUAUGCCCGCGCCUCCGUGUACGGCCCGCCCAUAGCUCCUUCGAUGGCGCCGCCUAGGAACGCGGAGAAAAUAUGACAAAGGAACGGCCAAAAAUAAAAAGAAAGACCUUUCUUUUGAAAAAACAAACGCCUCCGUGUACGGCCCGCCCAUAGCUCCUUCGACGGCGCCGCCUAGGAACGCGGAGAAAAUAUGACAAAGGAACGGCCAAAAAUAAAAAGAAAGACCUUUCUUUUGAAAAAACAAACAAAAAAAAGGAAUGCAACACGAGGACUUCCCAGGAGGUCACCCAUCCUAGUACUACUCUCGCCCAAGCACGCUUAACUUCGGAGUUCGGAUGGGAUCCGGUGCUUUAGUGCUGGUAUGAUCGCAUCCGACAUACCGUGCGUUCUCCUCCCCUUUAUGCCCGCGCCUCCGUGUACGGCCCGCCCAUAGCUCCUUCGACGGCGCCGCCUAGGAACGCGGAGAAAAUAUGACAAAGGAACGGCCAAAAAUAAAAAGAAAGACCUUUCUUUUGAAAAAACAAACAAAUAAAAGGAAUGCAACACGAGGACUUCCCAGGAGGUCACCCAUCCUAGUACUACUCUCGCCCAAGCACGCUUAACUUCGGAGUUCUGAUGGGAUCCGGUGCUUUAGUGCUGGUAUGAUCGCAUCCGACAUACCGUGCGUUCUCCUCCCCUUUAUGCCCGCGCCUCCGUGUACGGCCCGCCCAUAGCUCCUUCGACGGCGCCGCCUAGGAACGCGGAGAAAAUAUGACAAAGGAACGGCCAAAAAUAAAAAGAAAGACCUUUCUUUUGAAAAAACAAACAAAAAAAAGGAAUGCAACACGAGGACUUCCCAGGAGGUCACCCAUCCUAGUACUACUCUCGCCCAAGCACGCUUAACUUCGCAGUUCUGAUGGGAUCCGGUGCUUUAGUGCUGGUAUGAUCGCAUCCGACAUACCGUGCGUUCUCCUCCCCUUUAUGCCCGCGCCUCCGUGUACGGCCCGCCCAUAGCUCCUUCGACGGCGCCGCCUAGGAACGCGGAGAAAAUAUGACAAAGGAACGGCCAAAAAUAAAAAGAAAGACCUUUCUUUUGAAAAAACAAACGGCUCCGUGUACGGCCCGCCCAUAGCUCCUUCGACGGCGCCGCCUAGGAACGCGGAGAAAAUAUGACAAAGGAACGGCCAAAAAUAAAAAGAAAGACCUUUCUUUUGAAAAAACAAACAAAAAAAAGGAAUGCAACACGAGGACUUCCCAGGAGGUCACCCAUCCUAGUACUACUCUCGCCCAAGCACGCUUAACUUCGGAGUUCUGAUGGGAUCCGGUGCUUUAGUGCUGGUAUGAUCGCAUCCGACAUACCGUGCGUUCUCCUCCCCUUUAUGCCCGCGCCUCCGUGUACGGCCCGCCCAUAGCUCCUUCGACGGCGCCGCCUAGGAACGCGGAGAAAAUAUGACAAAGGAACGGCCAAAAAUAAAAAGAAAGACCUUUCUUUUGAAAAAACAAACAAAUAAAAGGAAUGCAACACGAGGACUUCCCAGGAGGUCACCCAUCCUAGUACUACUCUCGCCCAAGCACGCUUAACUUCGGAGUUCUGAUGGGAUCCGGUGCUUUAGUGCUGGUAUGAUCGCAUCCGACAUACCGUGUGUCGACGAAAGCUGGUCGGCAGUCUACCUUGGGGUAUACCCACGGUAGUAGUUUAUCGGUAGACGGUGCGCAAACUACGAACUCGAUGGUGACGCAAGACACGGACAAGCUUUUUAUCCAGGUUCGGCCGCCGAGUUGGCGUAAUACCUACGUCCUGCGUCUGGUUGUAUUGGAUUGUGUUUAGAGAUAAUCUACCCUAGGGGGUCCCCUUGCCCCUCCUUAUAUAGUCUGGAGGGCAGGGUUACAGAUCUAGAAACUAAUCCUAGCCGGUUACAAUUGCCAUAGAUAAUUCGAUAUCAAUUCCUAUUCUAACCGACUAGAAUCCUGCUUGAUCUCCACGUCCUGUUUCCUUGCGCGAAACUCGGGCUAUCGGAUCAAGCCUUGAACUCGUCUCGUAGUGGGCCAAGCUUCCUAGCUGAAGUCUAGCCGUAAGGGUAUAGGGGUUUAUACCCCCACAGCUAGUCCCCGAGCGCCAUGUAUUGUGACGCAACACUCCGUCUUGAGCUUCUUCGAUCAGCGUGGUCUGUCGUCUUCAAUGAGCGGGGAAAUCGCCCAAACGGUUCAUUGAUCAACGUUGUCAUCGAAGAAGCAGGUUGUUCGAAGAAUGCAUGGUGCUCUAAAAAAAAUUUCUUUCCUGGUGAAGUGUGCCCACUUUGCCUUUCUGAAAGGUAGAAGCAACAAAAAAGCAAGCAAAUUCACCGCUAGGUGAAGUGUGCCCACUUAGUCCCCGAGCCUGGUAGUAGGUGUCGUAGGCACGUGGUGCCAGGGUCAAAAGAAAAUUCCCCAAAGUAGUUUUGGGACUGAGAUGCAUCGUACCGAUGUAGUCCCCGAGCUUGCUGGAAGGCGAAGUAUGAGCCUUGUAGCAAGGUCUAAAAAAUUGAAUUUACCAGUCCCCGAGCAUGUCAUGCUCGUCUGCAAUCGAAAAGACCAAUCGACCAGUCCCCAGGCACUUAGUGUGCUGCCUGGAAUUACAUGUUACUAUACUGUACGACCAGUCCCCGAGCAUCGAGUGCUCAGUGGUCGGUGCAUGCUUUAAAGCUUUGAGCUGAUAGACUGAGCGACCAGUCCCCGAGCGUCGAGUGCUCGGUGGUCGGUGAAGUCUUUGAAGUUCCGAGCUGAUAAACUGGGCGACCAGUCCCCGAGCGUCGAGUGCUCGGUGGUCGGUGCAGUCUUUGAAGUUCCGAGCUAAUAAACUGGGCGACCAGUCCCCGAGCGUCGAGUGCUCGGUGGUCGGUGCAGUCUUUGAAGUUCCGAGCUAAUAAACUGGGCGACCAGUCCCCGAGCGUCGAGUGCUCGGUGGUCGGUGCAGUCCCCGGAUUGCUGACUCACUGGCGUAUGUGUCUUCUUACUUUUGAAAAGGUCUUUCAAAUUUAAAGUUGACGUGACGGGGUCUCCUGACGAUAUGUCAGACGGAUGCAUGAAAAGCUGUGCCUGGCAACUGUACAACCGCUCUUUGCNNNNNNNNNNNNNNNNNNNNNNNNNNNNNNNNNNNNNNNNNNNNNNNNNNNNNNNNNNNNNNNNNNNNNNNNNNNNNNNNNNNNNNNNNNNNNNNNNNNNCGUUCUCCUCCCCUUUAUGCCCGCGCCUCCGUGUCCGUAAAGGGCAUAGCUCCUUCGACGGCGCCGCCGUAGGAACGCUGAGAAGAUAUGACAAAGGAACGGCCAAAAAUAAAAAGAAAGACCUUUCUUUUGAAAAAACAAACAAAAAAAAGGAAUGCAACACGAGGACUUCCCAGGAGGUCACCCAUCCUAGUACUACUCUCGCCCAAGCACGCUUAACUUCGGAGUUCUGAUGGGAUCCGGUGCUUUAGUGCUGGUAUGAUCGCAUCCGACAUACCGUGCGUUCUCCUCCCCUUUAUGCCCGCGCCUCCGUGUACGGCCGGCCCAUAGCUCCUUCGACGGCGCCGCCUAGGAACGCGGAGAAAAUAUGACAAAGGAAUUUUUUUAAAUAAAAAGAAAGACCUUUCUUUUGAAAAAACAAACGAAAAAAAGGAAUGCAACACGAGGACUUCCCAGGAGGUCACCCAUCCUAGUACUACUCUCGCCCAAGCACGCUUAACUUCGGAGUUCUGAUGGGAUCCGGUGCUUUAGUGCUGGUAUGAUCGCAUCCGACAUACCGUGCGUUCUCCUCCCCUUUAUGCCCGCGCCUCCGUGUACGGCCCGCCCAUAGCUCCUUCGACGGCGCCGCCUAAGAACGCGGAAAAAAUAUGACAAAGGAACGGCCAAAAAUAAAAAAAAAAAACCUUUCUUUUGAAAAAANNNNNNNNNNNNNNNNNNNNNNNNNNNNNNNNNNNNNNNNNNNNNNNNNNNNNNNNNNNNNNNNNNNNNNNNNNNNNNNNNNNNNNNNNNNNNNNNNNNNAAAAGGAAUGCAACACGAGGACUUCCCAGGAGGUCACCCAUCCUAGUACUACUCUCGCCCAAGCACGCUUAACUUCGGAGUUCUGAUGGGAUCCGGUGCUUUAGUGCUGGUAUGAUCGCAUCCGACAUACCGUGCGUUCUCCUCCCCUUUAUGCCCGCGCCUCCGUGUUACGGCCCGCCCAUAGCUCCUUCGACGGCGCCGCCUAGGAACGCGGAGAAAAUAUGACAAAGGAACGGCCAAAAAUCAAAAGAAAGACCUUUCUUUUGAAAAAACACACGCCUCCGUGUACGGCCCGCCCAUAGCUCCUUCGACGGCGCCGCCUAGGAACGCGGAGAAAAUAUGACAAAGGAACGGCCAAAAAUAAAAAGAAAGACCUUUCUUUUGAAAAAACAAACAAAUAAAAGGAAUGCAACACGAGGACUUCCCAGGAGGUCACCCAUCCUAGUACUACUCUCGCCCAAGCACGCUUAACUUCGGAGUUCUGAUGGGAUCCGGUGCUUUAGUGCUGGUAUGAUCGCAUCCGACAUACCGUGCGUUCUCCUCCCCUUUAUGCCCGCGCCUCCGUGUACGGCCCGCCCAUAGCUCCUUCGACGGCGCCGCCUAGGAACGCGGAGAAAAUAUGACAAAGGAACGGCCAAAAAUAAAAAGAAAGACCUUUCUUUUGAAAAAACAAACAAAUAAAAGGAAUGCAACACGAGGACUUCCCAGGAGGUCACCCAUCCUAGUACUACUCUCGCCCAAGCACGCUUAACUUCGGAGUUCUGAUGGGAUCCGGUGCUUUAGUGCUGGUAUGAUCGCAUCCGACAUACCGUGCGUUCUCCUCCCCUUUAUGCCCGCGCCUCCGUGUACGGCCCGCCCAUAGCUCCUUCGACGGCGCCGCCUAGGAACGCGGAGAAAAUAUGACAAAGGAACGGCCAAAAAUAAAAAGAAAGACCUUUCUUUUGAAAAAACAAACGCCUCCGUGUACGGCCCGCCCAUAGCUCCUUCGACGGCGCCGCCUAGGAACGCGGAGAAAAUAUGACAAAGGAACGGCCAAAAAUAAAAAGAAAGACCUUUCUUUUGAAAAAACAAACAAAAAAAAGGAAUGCAACACGAGGACUUCCCAGGAGGUCACCCAUCCUAGUACUACUCUCGCCCAAGCACGCUUAACUUCGGAGUUCUGAUGGGAUCCGGUGCUUUAGUGCUGGUAUGAUCGCAUCCGACAUACCGUGCGUUCUCCUCCCCUUUAUGCCCGCGCCUCCGUGUACGGCCCGCCCAUAGCUCCUUCGACGGCGCCGCCUAGGAACGCGGAGAAAAUAUGACAAAGGAACGGCCAAAAAUAAAAAGAAAGACCUUUCUUUUGAAAAAACAAACAAAUAAAAGGAAUGCAACACGAGGACUUCCCAGGAGGUCACCCAUCCUAGUACUACUCUCGCCCAAGCACGCUUAACUUCGGAGUUCUGAUGGGAUCCGGUGCUUUAGUGCUGGUAUGAUCGCAUCCGACAUACCGUGCGUUCUCCUCCCCUUUAUGCCCGCGCCUCCGUGUACGGCCCGCCCAUAGCUCCUUCGACGGCGCCGCCUAGGAACGCGGAGAAAAUAUGACAAAGGAACGGCCAAAAAUAAAAAGAAAGACCUUUCUUUUGAAAAAACAAACGCCUCCGUGUACGGCCCGCCCAUAGCUCCUUCGACGGCGCCGCCUAGGAACGCGGAGAAAAUAUGACAAAGGAACGGCCAAAAAUAAAAAGAAAGACCUUUCUUUUGAAAAAACAAACAAAAAAAAGGAAUGCAACACGAGGACUUCCCAGGAGGUCACCCAUCCUAGUACUACUCUCGCCCAAGCACGCUUAACUUCGGAGUUCUGAUGGGAUCCGGUGCUUUAGUGCUGGUAUGAUCGCAUCCGACAUACCGUGCGUUCUCCUCCCCUUUAUGCCCGCGCCUCCGUGUACGGCCCGCCCAUAGCUCCUUCGACGGCGCCGCCUAGGAACGCGGAGAAAAUAUGACAAAGGAACGGCCAAAAAUAAAAAGAAAGACCUUUCUUUUGAAAAAACAAACAAAUAAAAGGAAUGCAACACGAGGACUUCCCAGGAGGUCACCCAUCCUAGUACUACUCUCGCCCAAGCACGCUUAACUUCGGAGUUCUGAUGGGAUCCGGUGCUUUAGUGCUGGUAUGAUCGCAUCCGACAUACCGUGCGUUCUCCUCCCCUUUAUGCCCGCGCCUCCGUGUACGGCCCGCCCAUAGCUCCUUCGACGGCGCCGCCUAGGAACGCGGAGAAAAUAUGACAAAGGAACGGCCAAAAAUAAAAAGAAAGACCUUUCUUUUGAAAAAACAAACAAAAAAAAGGAAUGCAACACGAGGACUUCCCAGGAGGUCACCCAUCCUAGUACUACUCUCGCCCAAGCACGCUUAACUUCGGAGUUCUGAUGGGAUCCGGUGCUUUAGUGCUGGUAUGAUCGCAUCCGACAUACCGUGCGUUCUCCUCCCCUUUAUGCCCGCGCCUCCGGGUACGGUCCUCCCAUAGCUCCGUCAACGGCCCGCCUAGGAACGCGGAGAAAAUAUGACAAAGGAACGGCCAAAAAUAAAAAGAAAGCCCUUUCUUUUGAAAAGACAACCGAAUAAAAGGAAUGCCACGCGAGGACUUCCCAGGAGGUCACCCAUCAUAGUACUACUCUCGCCCAAGCACGCUUAACUUCGGAGUUCUGAUGGGAUCCGGUGCUUUAGUGCUGGUAUGAUCGCAUCCGACAUACCGCGCGUUCUCCUCCCCUUAAGGCCCGCGCCUCCGUGUACGGCCCGCCCAUAGCUCCUUAGACGGCACCUCCUAGGAACGCGGAGAAAAUAUGACAAAGGAACGGCCAAAAAUAAAAAGAAAGACCUUUCUUUUGAAAAAACAAACGCCUCCGUGUACGGCCCGCCCAUAGCUCCUUCGACGGCGCCGCCUAGGAACGCGGAGAAAAUAUGACAAAGGAACGGCCAAAAAUAAAAAGAAAGACCUUUCUUUUGAAAAAACAAACAAAAAAAAGGAAUGCAACACGAGGACUUCCCAGGAGGUCACCCAUCCUAGUACUACUCUCGCCCAAGCACGCUUAACUUCGGAGUUCUGAUGGGAUCCGGUGCUUUAGUGCUGGUAUGAUCGCAUCCGACAUACCGUGCGUUCUCCUCCCCUUUAUGCCCGCGCCUCCGUGUACGGCCCGCCCAUAGCUCCUUCGACGGCGCCGCCUAGGAACGCGGAGAAAAUAUGACAAAGGAACGGCCAAAAAUAAAAAGAAAGACCUUUCUUUUGAAAAAACAAACGCCUCCGCGUACGGCCCGCCCAUAGCUCCUUCGACGGCGCCGCCUAGGAACGCGGAGAAAAUAUGACAAAGGAACGGCCAAAAAUAAAAAGAAAGACCUUUCUUUUGAAAAAACAAACAAAAAAAAGGAAUGCAACACGAGGACUUCCCAGGAGGUCACCCAUCCUAGUACUACUCUCGCCCAAGCACGCUUAACUUCGGAGUUCUGAUGGGAUCCGGUGCUUUAGUGCUGGUAUGAUCGCAUCCGACAUACCGUGCGUUCUCCUCCCCUUUAUGCCCGCGCCUCCGUGUACGGCCCGCCCAUAGCUCCUUCGACGGCGCCGCCUAGGAACGCGGAGAAAAUAUGACAAAGGAACGGCCAAAAAUAAAAAGAAAGACCUUUCUUUUGAAAAAACAAACAAAUAAAAGGAAUGCAACACGAGGACUUCCCAGGAGGUCACCCAUCCUAGUACUACUCUCGCCCAAGCACGCUUAACUUCGGAGUUCUGAUGGGAUCCGGUGCUUUAGUGCUGGUAUGAUCGCAUCCGACAUACCGUGCGUUCUCCUCCCCUUUAUGCCCGCGCCUCCGUGUACGGCCCGCCCAUAGCUCCUUCGACGGCGCCGCCUAGGAACGCGGAGAAAAUAUGACAAAGGAACGGCCAAAAAUAAAAAGAAAGACCUUUCUUUUGAAAAAACAAACAAAUAAAAGGAAUGCAACACGAGGACUUCCCAGGAGGUCACCCAUCCUAGUACUACUCUCGCCCAAGCACGCUUAACUUCGGAGUUCUGAUGGGAUCCGGUGCUUUAGUGCUGGUAUGAUCGCAUCCGACAUACCGUGCGUUCUCCUCCCCUUUAUGCCCGCGCCUCCGUGUACGGCCCGCCCAUAGCUCCUUCGACGGCGCCGCCUAGGAACGCGGAGAAAAUAUGACAAAGGAACGGCCAAAAAUAAAAAGAAAGACCUUUCUUUUGAAAAAACAAACGCCUCCGUGUACGGCCCGCCCAUAGCUCCUUCGACGGCGCCGCCUAGGAACGCGGAGAAAAUAUGACAAAGGAACGGCCAAAAAUAAAAAGAAAGACCUUUCUUUUGAAAAAACAAACAAAAAAAAGGAAUGCAACACGAGGACUUCCCAGGAGGUCACCCAUCCUAGUACUACUCUCGCCCAAGCACGCUUAACUUCGGAGUUCUGAUGGGAUCCGGUGCUUUAGUGCUGGUAUGAUCGCAUCCGACAUACCGUGCGUUCUCCUCCCCUUUAUGCCCGCGCCUCCGUGUACGGCCCGCCCAUAGCUCCUUCGACGGCGCCGCCUAGGAACGCGGAGAAAAUAUGACAAAGGAACGGCCAAAAAUAAAAAGAAAGACCUUUCUUUUGAAAAAACAAACAAAUAAAAGGAAUGCAACACGAGGACUUCCCAGGAGGUCACCCAUCCUAGUACUACUCUCGCCCAAGCACGCUUAACUUCGGAGUUCUGAUGGGAUCCGGUGCUUUAGUGCUGGUAUGAUCGCAUCCGACAUACCGUGCGUUCUCCUCCCCUUUAUACCCGCGCCUCCGUGUACGGCCCGCCCAUAGCUCCUUCGACGGCGCCGCCUAGGAACGCGGAGAAAAUAUGACAAAGGAACGGCCAAAAAUAAAAAGAAAGACCUUUCUUUUGAAAAAACAAACAAAUAAAAGGAAUGCAACACGAGGACUUCCCAGGAGGUCACCCAUCCUAGUACUACUCUCGCCCAAGCACGCUUAACUUCGGAGUUCUGAUGGGAUCCGGUGCUUUAGUGCUGGUAUGAUCGCAUCCGACAUACCGUGCGUUCUCCUCCCCUUUAUGCCCGCGCCUCCGUGUACGGCCCGCCCAUAGCUCCUUCGACGGCGCCGCCUAGGAACGCGGAGAAAAUAUGACAAAGGAACGGCCAAAAAUAAAAAGAAAGACCUUUCUUUUGAAAAAACAAACGCCUCCGUGUACGGCCCGCCCAUAGCUCCUUCGACGGCGCCGCCUAGGAACGCGGAGAAAAUAUGACAAAGGAACGGCCAAAAAUAAAAAGAAAGACCUUUCUUUUGAAAAAACAAACAAAAAAAAGGAAUGCAACACGAGGACUUCCCAGGAGGUCACCCAUCCUAGUACUACUCUCGCCCAAGCACGCUUAACUUCGGAGUUCUGAUGGGAUCCGGUGCUUUAGUGCUGGUAUGAUCGCAUCCGACAUACCGUGCGUUCUCCUCCCCUUUAUACCCGCGCCUCCGUGUACGGCCCGCCCAUAGCUCCUUCGACGGCGCCGCCUAGGAACGCGGAGAAAAUAUGACAAAGGAACGGCCAAAAAUAAAAAGAAAGACCUUUCUUUUGAAAAAACAAGCAAAAAAAAGGAAUGCAACACGAGGACUUCCCAGGAGGUCACCCAUCCUAGUACUACUCUCGCCCAAGCACGCUUAACUUCGGAGUUCUGAUGGGAUCCGGUGCUUUAGUGCUGGUAUGAUCGCAUCCGACAUACCGUGCGUUCUCCUCCCCUUUAUGCCCGCGCCUCCGUGUACGGCCCGCCCAUAGCUCCUUCGACAGCGCCGCCUAGGAACGCGGAGAAAAUAUGACAAAGGAACGGCAAAAAAUAAAAAGAAAGACCUUUCUUUUGAAAAAACAAACAAAAAAAAGGAAUGCAACACGCGGACUUCCCAGGAGGUCACCCAUCCUAGUACUACUCUCGCCUAAGCACGCUUAACUUCGGAGUNNNNNNNNNNNNNNNNNNNNNNNNNNNNNNNNNNNNNNNNNNNNNNNNNNNNNNNNNNNNNNNNNNNNNNNNNNNNNNNNNNNNNNNNNNNNNNNNNNNNNNNNNNNNNNNNNNNNNNNNNNNNNNNNNNNNNNNNNNNNNNNNNNNNNNNNNNNNNNNNNNNNNNNNNNNNNNNNNNNNNNNNNNNNNNNNNNNNNNNNNNNNNNNNNNNNNNNNNNNNNNNNNNNNNNNNNNNNNNNNNNNNNNNNNNNNNNNNNNNNNNNNNNNNNNNNNNNNNNNNNNNNNNNNNNNNNNNNNNNNNNNNNNNNNNNNNNNNNNNNNNNNNNNNNNNNNNNNNNNNNNNNNNNNNNNNNNNNNNNNNNNNNNNNNNNNNNNNNNNNNNNNNNNNNNNNNNNNNNNNNNNNNNNNNNNNNNNNNNNNNNNNNNNNNNNNNNNNNNNNNNNNNNNNNNNNNNNNNNNNNNNNNNNNNNNNNNNNNNNNNNNNNNNNNNNNNNNNNNNNNNNNNNNNNNNNNNNNNNNNNNNNNNNNNNNNNNNNNNNNNNNNNNNNNNNNNNNNNNNNNNNNNNNNNNNNNNNNNNNNNNNNNNNNNNNNNNNNNNNNNNNNNNNNNNNNNNNNNNNNNNNNNNNNNNNNNNNNNNNNNNNNNNNNNNNNNNNNNNNNNNNNNNNNNNNNNNNNNNNNNNNNNNNNNNNNNNNNNNNNNNNNNNNNNNNNNNNNNNNNNNNNNNNNNNNNNNNNNNNNNNNNNNNNNNNNNNNNNNNNNNNNNNNNNNNNNNNNNNNNNNNNNNNNNNNNNNNNNNNNNNNNNNNNNNNNNNNNNNNNNNNNNNNNNNNNNNNNNNNNNNNNNNNNNNNNNNNNNNNNNNNNNNNNNNNNNNNNNNNNNNNNNNNNNNNNNNNNNNNNNNNNNNNNNNNNNNNNNNNNNNNNNNNNNNNNNNNNNNNNNNNNNNNNNNNNNNNNNNNNNNNNNNNNNNNNNNNNNNNNNNNNNNNNNNNNNNNNNNNNNNNNNNNNNNNNNNNNNNNNNNNNNNNNNNNNNNNNNNNNNNNNNNNNNNNNNNNNNNNNNNNNNNNNNNNNNNNNNNNNNNNNNNNNNNNNNNNNNNNNNNNNNNNNNNNNNNNNNNNNNNNNNNNNNNNNNNNNNNNNNNNNNNNNNNNNNNNNNNNNNNNNNNNNNNNNNNNNNNNNNNNNNNNNNNNNNNNNNNNNNNNNNNNNNNNNNNNNNNNNNNNNNNNNNNNNNNNNNNNNNNNNNNNNNNNNNNNNNNNNNNNNNNNNNNNNNNNNNNNNNNNNNNNNNNNNNNNNNNNNNNNNNNNNNNNNNNNNNNNNNNNNNNNNNNNNNNNNNNNNNNNNNNNNNNNNNNNNNNNNNNNNNNNNNNNNNNNNNNNCCUUCAUCCAUCUGUGCGAGGCCUAUGUUGGCAUAGAGCCGCACUUUGAUCUUUUCCGGUAUCUUUUCUGUCUGAGGAAGAAGGGAGCAGUUGGAGGCUCCAAGGUUGCAGGUGGAGUAUACCUCAACCUCCGUGAUGGGAUGAAGAAUCGCUACCUGCACUGCCCAUGGAACACCUCCUUGACCGAAUGGUACAGGAAGUGGUUCUACGUCAGGGAGGAACCGGGCAGCUCCACGUUCUGCGACGUGGGGUACGUUCCCGAGAAGAGGGCGAGCUGGACUGACCGCCCAGAGUUCGACGGUCAAGUGGCGGUUCUGAUGAAGCUGAUCGACUGGUCGCGCCUGGAUGGGCUCAGCGUGGUCGGCAACUUCAUUUGCCGCCGGGUGAUGCCCUGCCAGAAGAGGGUGCACUCGGCGUAUGAAUAUGCCGGAAGCACAGACCCGACCAGGAUGCGGUCGGAGAUCCUGGAGAAGGCGGAGGUACAACAGCUGCUGAACGAGCUGUUUAACUUCGCGGAUGGGGGCUUCACCCGUAGCAGUGAUCGGGUGCAAGCCUUCAAGUUAGGACGACCAGCACCAAAGGUAUGUAGCAGACUUCGUUUGAUCAUUCGUAUGUCGCCUGUAGUUGGCUCAUCUCUGUUACCUUUGCAGGUCGGUGAUGUCGACCGGUGCGUAGUGUACGUAUCACUGGCACCGGGGAUGGAAGAUCCUGUGGGAGAGGUCCCACCGGAGGAAGGCAGAGCCCGCCCCGUCCCGACCUCCGAGGAGAGGGUGGCGGGGAAAAGGCCAUUGCCGGUGGAUCCCCUGCCGACGCCGGAGCUGCCGGCAGACCUACCGGCGGAGAGCAGCCAAGCGCCGAAGCGUCGUCGGCUCGUGCGGAUCGUCGACGACGACGACGACGACGAGGAGGCUGCGCCGUCGUUGGUCCGACGGCCUCGGGGCCGCCCAGACGCUGCACCAGUCGCCACUGAUCGAGUGGCCAACGGCGCGGCUGCCCCGCAAGUUGCCGAGGUGGGGGCACAGGCGCCGACCGGCCGGGCGAGGAGGAGGUUCACCGCGACCCAUCGCCGGUCAGACCUGUAAGUGUUCAACUUACGUAUUUUGGACUCCCCCUUUUUUUUUUUUUUAAACUUUUGUUCCUGUAGUGCGGCAUCGGAUGUCGACCCUGGCCAAACUGCCGGCCAGGGAACGGGCGAGCCUGCCCGCGGUUCUCGGGAUGCGGCCCCCCAGACCACAGAACAGCCGACUGCUGCAGUCGCGCCUGGGAGCACCGAGGAGCUCCCGAGCGCGGCGCCGACUACAACAAGCAGCCCGACCAGGGCUGGGGAGGCUCCCCCAACUGACUCUUCGGAGAAGGGAAAGUCUCCGACCGCUCCUCCUGCCGGGGGGAGUGAAGUCCCCCCGCCGCCCCGAGCAGAAGCCUCUCCGGCUGCGGGCUCCCCAGGUCUGGUCCAAGGGACGUUGACGCCUGGGACCACCACCGGGGGUGACGCAGCCCAGGAGGAGGAAACCAGGGCGGCCUCCGACGACGAGGUAGAAGAGAUCGAGGGUCGUCCCCGUGAUGGCCGCCAACACGUGUAUGUGUGGCGCCAACGCGGGGAUCACUUUAUCGGUCAUGAGGAGCUUGCCGAGUCCGAAGAGGCCGCCAGGGUGGAGCGCGCGGCCAAGCGCCUUGUCGACGAAGUCAAGGUAAGCGUCGUUUUGAGCUGCCGCGCAUUCUUUUGCCUUGUCUUCUGCGCAUUGUUAUAUGCUUGCUUUGUAGGACGUUAUGAAAACGGCGAAGUACCGGAAACGGUGCUUUGACCAGAUAGAAGGCGUCAUGGCCGAGAACAAGGCCCUUGCCGCGGAGGUAGACCGGUUGCGGGCGGAGGUCGGAGAGAAGGUGGUCGAGAUGAGCACCGAGAAGGAGCGUCGUCUCGACCUCGCUCGUCGCCUGGCCGACCAGUACCGGCUGCAGGAAGGUUAGUCUCACGCUCCGAGCAGUUUCGCAGACUUGUAUAGUUUGCUUCGCUGACCAGUUUAGGAUUCACGCAGACUUGGAGGAGGAGGUGGCGAGCCUCCAACAAGAGAAGGAGCAGCUCGGCCAACAGCUCGCCAGUGCGCAGGAGUCCGGACGGCGAGCGGAAGAGGAAUUAAGUCGUAAAGACCGGGAGUUAGCUGGUAAUGGGUGCCGCCUUGUUGGUUGCUACCUGCCCCUUUGCUUGUUUGGUAUGCCGAAAGUAACGUUUCGUUUCGUUUGCAGUGCUCAAGGUGAACACCAAAAAGCACCUGGAUGAGCUGGUCAAGGACCGGGACUCCUGGAAGGUCAACUGUUGCAGGAUCUGGAAGGGAGUGUCCCCGGUCCUGGACCUGAUCAGUCCCGAGCUCCCGGAGAGCCAGCCCCGCGCGCCGCAGUUGACCCCGGUUCAAAAGGCGCAACGGGCGUGGGACUGGCUCCAGCAGUUUGUGAAGGACGCCGGGGAGUUUGCCGGCGCGCACGUCCUCAGCAUGGUACGCGCCCACUACCCCCUUGUCGACUUGAGCAGGCUGGAGAAGGGGUACCCGAAGGAAGUCGGCCCACAGGAAGCGGACGAACUUCGGGGUAGUCUGCUGGACUUGUCGUCGACAGUGAUCGGCGACAUCAACCUGUGCGGAACGGCCACUCCUCCAGACCAGCCGAGCUCAGAUAGGUCGGCCAGGGAGUUGUCGGGCGCGUCCUUUGCUGGAGAUGGGCGGUCGACGCCUGCGGUCUCGACCAGCCAGGCGCCGGUGGCCCCGACCCCUUCGUCCGGGCAGCAGGGCCAGGCGGGUGAUCAGCCCGAGCAGCUAGGCCAAUAAAGUAGUCUGUAGGAAUAGACUAGUAUCUGCCCGUCAGGGUAUUUAUUGUAAACUUUGUAUGUAAAGUUUGUAAUAAAGUUUUCUUUUUGUCAUGACUGUUGUUUUGAGCGCUGUAAAAAUAUCUGAGUGAUGUGUCAUCGUAUUUGUCUUGGUUGUCGCCAAGAGCAUCCAUUGCGGGAGUUUUGCCGAGUGCUGUGUAUGACAAGGUAUAGGCAAAAAAUAGAGAAUUAUAUUGUCACAAAUUAUAAGACACUUACAAAAGAAAGUCGCUAAAACUUUAUGGAUAGAAACGUCGCAGUUUGUCGAUGUGCCAAGAGUUAGGCACUCGUGUUCCGUCUGGGUAUGCCAAUCUGUAGGACGUAGGUCGUGUGACCUCGGUCACCACGAAGGGUCCUUCCCAGGGAGUAGAUAACUUGUGCAUUCCCUCCUGGCUUGUUUUCCAUCGAAGCACCAGAUCGCCGACCACGAAGGAACGGUCCUUGACGUUCCUGUUGUAGUAUCGCCUGACUGCCGUGAGAUAUUUUGCUGUUCGGAGACAUGAAACUAAACGCUUUUCCUCCAUGCAAUUGAUUUCGAGUUCUCUGGCGUUGUCGGCGGUCGACUGGUCGAAGUGCUCAAUUCUAGGGGAUCCGAAGUGUAUGUCGGACGGCAGAACCGCCUCUGCGCCGUACACCAUGAAAUAGGGAGACACCCCCGUGUUUCGACUGGUCUGAGUUCGAAGGCCCCAGACCACUGCCGGCAAUUCUUUCAUCCAUCGACCGGGUGCUCUGUCGUUCUCGGUGUACAAUCUUUUCUUUAGGGCGUCGACGAUCAUUCCAUUAGCACGUUCGACCUGACCGUUGGCACGUGGAUGUGCCACUGACACAUAUUUUAUGACUAUGCCUCUGUCAUCGCAGAAAUCCCAAAAGGUGGUGCCAGUAAACUGAGUGCCCAGGUCGGUGAUUAUGCUGUUCGGGAUGCCGAAUCUGUGUAUGAUUUGAUUGAGGAACUCCACAGCCUUCUCGGAAGUUGCCUUGACCAGGGGCAUGUAUUCAAUCCACUUGGAGAACUUGUCGAUUAACACGAAGACAAACUUGAAGUUGCCCGGGGCUGGUUUAAAUGGUCCGAUCAUGUCAAGCCCCCAGCAGGCAAAGGGCCAAGACGACGGGAUGGUUUGAAUUUCAUGGGCAGGUACGUGGGUCCUCUUAGCGAAAAACUGACAUCCUUCGCAACGCCGAACCAGUUUUUCUGCAUCGCUGACCGCGGUCGGCCAGUAAAAACCUGCUCGGAAAGCCUUUCCGACCAGCGUUCUAGAUGCGGCGUGGUUGCCGCAGGAUCCGGCGUGUAUGUCCUCCAAGAGCUUGAUACCAUCGUCUUGGGGUAUGCACUUGAGCAGUACCUCGGAGCUUGCGUUUUUCCGCAUGAGUUUUCCGUCGACCAGGAUGUAGUUCUUUGACCGUCGGAUGAGACGCUCGUUCUCUGUUUUGUCCUGAAAACCUGUCCCGUCUGAGAUGUAUUUGAUGAACGGGACACGCCAGUCGCGCCCGCCGGUUGUCGGAGUGGCGUCAUCUAUGAGCAUUGCCUCGUUGGGUUGCUUGUCGACCAGGGGGGAGCUUACGCUCGGCUCAUGGAUGUCCUGGACGAAAAUACCGCGCGGGAUUUGGGCCCGGGACGAGCCUAACUUUGACAACGCAUCUGCUGCUUGGUUCUUAUCCCGGACCACGUGGAUGUACUCUAUGCCAUAGAAGUUAGUUUCCCAUUUGCGAAUUUCUUUGCAGUAGAGAUCCAUCUUCUCGUGGGUUGCGUCCCACUCCUUGUUGAGCUGGUUGAUGACCAAAGCGGAGUCCCCGUAGACAUAGAGGCGCUUAACCCCCAGCUCAACGGCUAGUCGUACGCCAUGUAAGCAAGCUUCAUAUUCGGCGACAUUGUUUGACGCCGGGAAAAGGAUCCGAAGGACGUAGCGGAGUUUGUCCUUGUUUGGUGAUACGAACAAUAUCCCAGCGCCUGCACCGUUGAUGUUCAAGGACCCAUCAAAGAACAUUGACCAGUGGUCUGAGACAUCGGGAACGGACGGUUCGUUGAGAUCCGUCCAUUCGGCAAUGAAAUCGACCAGGGCUUGGGACUUGACAGUGGUGCGACUCUGAAACUCCAGGGAAAAUGGACAUAAUUCCAUUGCCCAUUUCACGAUUCUGCCAUUGGCGUCUUUAUUGCGCAGGAUGUCACCGAGGGGAAAGCUGGUUGUCACCAGGACUCGAUGGCCGUCGAAGUAGUGCUUCAGUUUUCUUGACGUUAUCAGGAUGGCGUAUAUAAGCUUCUGUAUUUGUGGGUACCUGGCCUUGGAUUCGUUUAAAACUUCGCUUAUGAAGUAAACGGGCCUCUGGACCUUGAAGACGUGACCUGGUUCAUCUCGCUCGACCACUAUUGCCGUGGAAACAACUCUGUCGGUUGCAGCAAUGUAAAGGAGCAGGUCUUCGUUGGGCUGAGGCGCUGUGAGAACAGGCGGUGAAGUGAGGAAGGUCUUAAGCUGAGUGAACGCAGCGUCGGCGUCUUCUAUCCAGGAGAAUUUUUCUGACGCUUUCAAUAGUUUGAAAAAGGGGAGGCCUUUUUCUCCCAGCCUUGAGAUGAAACGACUGAGAGCGGCCAUGCAUCCGGUUAGCUUCUGAAUAUCCUUGACGUUCUUCGGUGGUCGCAUGUCGAGUACGGCUUUGACUUUUGAAGGGUUUGGCCGUAUGCCGUCGCAACUGACGACGUUGCCGAGCAGUAGACCGGAAGGAACGCCGAAAAUGCAUUUCUUGGGGUUGAGCUUCCACUUGUACCUAUUGAGUGCCUUGAAGGUUCGGUCUAAGUUGUCGAUUAGGGUGCUCGCAUCCCUUGUUUUUACGACCACGUCGUCCACAUAGGCCUCGACGAGGUCGUCGCGAAUCUCGUCGUGGAGGCAUUGCUGGAUGGCCCUUUGAUAAGUGGCCCCGGCGUUUUUAAGUCCGAAAGACAUGGUAGUGUAACAGUAUGCGCCGAAAGGUGUGAUGAAGGAUGUUUUGAUCUGAUCUUCUUCUUUUAACGAGAUCUGGUGAUAACCAGAGUAGCAAUCUAGAAAGGAGAGGAGUUCGCAUCCGGCCGUUGAGUCGACCACCUCGUCGAUGCGAGGAAGACCAAAAGGAUCUUUAGGACAGUGUUUGUUGAGAUCGGUGUAAUCAACGCACAUUCUCCAUUCAUUAUUCUUUUUGCGUACAAGAACCGGAUUGGCGAGCCAAUCGGGAUGAUACACCUCUUUUAUGAAUCCGGCUGCUAGAAGCCGUGUUAUUUCUGUCCUAAUAGCCUCCUUUUUGUCACGAGCGAACCGUCGCAGUUUUUGCUUGAUUGGUCUUGCGGUCUUCGAGACGUUUAAGGAGUGCUCGAUCAGGUUCCGUGGGACGCCGGGCAUGUCUGCGGGUUUCCAUGCGAAAACGCUCACGUUGUCCCUUAGAAACCUGACGAGCGCGUCUUCCUAUUUUGGAUCCAGGUUAGCCCCGAUGAGGGCUGUCUUCUCGGGGUUGCCCUCGACCAGCUGCACUUCUUUGUACUCCUUGGAUUUCGAAUUCUUUCUGGCUGUCUCCUGCUCAGGUAAUCGGAGCUGGUCGGGGGGCAGCUGUGCGGCUUGGUUUGCUGUUUCCGCCAUGCGGAUUGAGAGGUCAAUUGCCUCGGUGAUCUUGAAACUUUCUUCUUCGCAGGUGUACGCAGUGUAGACGUUGCCUCUGACGGUCAGGACACCCUUCUCCGUGGGCAUCUUAAGCACUAGGUACGAGUAGUGCGGGACUGCCAUGAACUUUGUCAGCGAUGGGCGGCCCAGUAUGGCGUGGUAGGUCCCGUCGAAGUCCGCGACUACGAAGUUGAUGAACUCCGUCCGGAAGUGAUCGGGUGUGCCGAAUUGGACAGGCAAUGUUAUCUGUCCGAGGGGCACCGAACUUUGACCUGGCAAAACCCCCCAGAAUUGGGCGUCGUAAGGUUUUAGUUGGGCCGGUGAUAUCUUGAGGGCGGGCAGGCUGUUGCGGAAGAGGAUGUCAAUGGAGCUUCCCCCGUCCACGAGCACGCGCUCGAAUCUGAUGCUGUUGAUGCAAGGAUCGAGAAUUAGUGGGAAACGACCCGGCUCCGGGAUAGCGGCCCACUGGUCCUUCCUGCUGAACGCGAUCUCCCUAUGGGACCAGGCGGGAAAUUUCAGAUCUGCGAUCAGCCCGUCCGUGCUGUCUAUGUUGAGGCAGGCUCUCUUCAACAGCUUUCUUUCUCGCUUGGACUCAGUGGAGACCUUGCCCCCGAAAAUGGAGUGGACCACGUCGGUGGGGCUGACGUAUUGGUGUCGGGGGUCCCUGUCUUGGUCCUCGUCCUCAUCUUCGUGGUCGUGCCCGUCGCGUUUGUUACUUUUCUUGGCGGUGUCUUCUUGGGCGGCCCGCCGUGUAUAGAUAUUUUUGAGGACGCGGCACUCUUCCAUGGUAUGGUUAGACUUUGGAUGUAGCUGGCACGGUCCCUUCAACGUUUUGUUGUAGUCGUCUUGGUAGUCCCGUCGUCCAUUGGGACGUUUGACCGUGUUUACUUCGUGGUCGUAUUCGCGAGGGCGCUUUCCUCUGAAGUCGUCGCGGCUGUCGCGCCGCCGAUCCCAACCCUCUCGGUGAUCGCGGUUGUCGGAGCGACGGUGAUUUCUGUUGUCGUAGCGGCCGCGACCGUCGUCUCGCCGGGAGGGCUGGUCGGUGCCUCUCGCAUCGUCUCGGAUUAGUUUUUCUGCGUCAUCAGCAUCGGCAUAAUUUUUAGCCGUGGCGAGGAGCUCUGCUACUGUUGAUGGACGUUUACGCAACAGCUUGUUCCUCAGCGCUUCAUGGAAACGUAAGCCCUUGAUAAAGGCUGAUAUGGCCUCGUCAUGAGAAAUCUUCGGGAUUUUGAGACGCAUAUCCGAGAAUCGUCGGAUGUAAUCACGCAGAGGUUCAUUCUUCCUGUCUCUUAUCCUUUCAAGGUCAUACUUGUUUCCGGGCUGUUCGCAUGUGGCGAUGAAGUUGUCAAUGAAAGCCUGUCGUAGUUCUUCCCAAGAGUCGAAGGAGUCCUCGGGCAAGCCGAGAAGCCACUGAUGACCAGCCUGGUCGAGGACUACGGGGAAGUAGUUAGCCAUGACGUGCUCAUCUCCUGCCGCUGAUCGGACGGCGAUUUCGUAGAGGGUGAUCCAGUUCUCUGGAUUUUCCUUGCCGUCGUAUUUUUUAAGUUUUUCGAGCUUGAAAUUUCUGGGCCACACGACCUGGCGGAGGUGUGAGGAGAACUGCCUUAGGCCCGGGGGACCAUGGGUCGCAUCGUACUCGAUGCGGCGUAGGUUUUCGUGGACUGCUCUCUCUGCGGCGCGCCUGUUGAUGCGGUCCCGGGCAUCUUUGGGAGGGAUGUUGUGGCGGAGAUCCCUGUGUUGAUCUUCUUCUUCCUGGCCGCGUACGCGGUUCUGCUGGCGGCGGCCAUCGGCGUCUCGACCACCAUCGUCGCGCCGUGAGUCCCCUCGACGGUUGUCGGGGGAGCGCCUGCGGCGACGCCUGCUGGGCGAGGCCCGGCUACGAUGAGUCUGGUCGGAGGCGGCUUCCGUAUAAGGGACGUCCUGGACUCUCUUAAGCAGAGUUGCUGUCUGUCCCAUCGCGGCGAUCAGGUGUGCUCGGAUACUGGUCCGGACCCCCUGGCAUUCUGGUGUGUCAGGAAGCCGAUCCAGGUUGGCCAUGGCAACAGCCACGUUGGCGCUUGGCGUUUUGUAGACCGGCUGGUCCCCGACCAUGUCAAAGGCAUCGUUGAGGUUACCCGGUGGCGUCUGUUGUUGCUCGUCCGCACGCCGUCGGGCGCGAUCGGCGUUACGCUGUUCGCGGAGUUGCCUCUGGUCGUCUGUUUCUCCGUCAACAACCGGUUCGUCGGCGCUGACAUUGAAUACAAUAUCCCCUCGCCGGGGGGGGGGAAUAUCGGGAACCGGUCGAAACCCGGAGGGUGUGAAGGGAAAUCCAGGUCGUAGCCCUCGUCUUCGGUGUUUAUAACCUCGGUGGGGACGGAGCCGGUGCUUGAGUUGGUGCUGGAAACCUGGCCGUUCCGUAGCUCUCGGAUUGUCACCAUGUUGACAUGGUGACGAUUGUUCCUUGUCGGCGACCAGCCCGCUUUGCUGAAAACGGAUUGAACAUGCUGUGAGUAGACAGAGGCCGAGUUAUUCAGGCCGCAAGGAUGGUCUCCCUUUUUGAGCUCGACGGAUCGGCCUGAGGAGGUUGAGGUUAUCGCCAGGGACGUUCCCAGCCGUUCGUGUGUGGUGACACGAGUUGGCCGGCGGGAUUUCGAAAAAUCCGCUUGAGUGGCUUGGUCGGGCCGGCGCAGAAUUCCAUCUAUUAGUUGGGAGACUUCGAGCAGCUUGGAGUCGGCGCGAUCGAGCGCUUGGAGGAGGUCCGAGCAGUCGAUCUCCUUUCCCUUGUAGAGUGGGAACGGUGGCCGGGAGUUUGGUGCCGUCAUGCGUGUGGUCGGAGACGGCGUGAUCUCAGAUUGGAUCUGGAUCUCUUUCGGGACCGUGGUCGGGAAGCCGCCGCUGCACGUCGUCCACGUGAUCUGGCCGACGGUAAACGUGAGGCCUUCGGGCACGGUCGCGGAAGCUGGGAUCGUGACCAUCUUGUUCGCCGGAAAAGUUGCACGCACACCCCCUACCUGGCGCGCCACUGUCGACGAAAGCUGGUCGGCAGUCUACCUUGGGGUAUACCCACGGUAGUAGUUUAUCGGUAGACGGUGCGCAAACUACGAACUCGAUGGUGACGCAAGACACGGACAAGCUUUUUAUCCAGGUUCGGCCGCCGAGUUGGCGUAAUACCUACGUCCUGCGUCUGGUUGUAUUGGAUUGUGUUUAGAGAUAAUCUACCCUAGGGGGUCCCCUUGCCCCUCCUUAUAUAGUCUGGAGGGCAGGGUUACAGAUCUAGAAACUAAUCCUAGCCGGUUACAAUUGCCAUAGAUAAUUCGAUAUCAAUUCCUAUUCUAACCGACUAGAAUCCUGCUUGAUCUCCACGUCCUGUUUCCUUGCGCGAAACUCGGGCUAUCGGAUCAAGCCUUGAACUCGUCUCGUAGUGGGCCAAGCUUCCUAGCUGAAGUCUAGCCGUAAGGGUAUAGGGGUUUAUACCCCCACACCGUGCGUUCUCCUCCCCUUUAUGCCCGCGCCUCCGUGUACGGCCCGCCCAUAGCUCCUUCGACGGCGCCGCCUAGGAACGCGGAGAAAAUAUGACAAAGGAACGGCCAAAAAUAAAAAGAAAGACCUUUCUUUUGAAAAAACAAACAAAUAAAAGGAAUGCAACACGAGGACUUCCCAGGAGGUCACCCAUCCUAGUACUACUCUCGCCCAAGCACGCUUAACUUCGGAGUUCUGAUGGGAUCCGGUGCUUUAGUGCUGGUAUGAUCGCAUCCGACAUACCGUGCGUUCUCCUCCCCUUUAUGCCCGCGCCUCCGUGUACGGCCCGCCCAUAGCUCCUUCGACGGCGCCGCCUAGGAACGCGGAGAAAAUAUGACAAAGGAACGGCCAAAAAUAAAAAGAAAGACCUUUCUUUUGAAAAAACAAACAAAAAAAAGGAAUGCAACACGAGGACUUCCCAGGAGGUCACCCAUCCUAGUACUACUCUCGCCCAAGCACGCUUAACUUCGGAGUUCUGAUGGGAUCCGGUGCUUUAGUGCUGGUAUGAUCGCAUCCGACAUACCGUGCGUUCUCCUCCCCUUUAUGCCCGCGCCUCCGUGUACGGCCCGCCCAUAGCUCUUUCGACGGCGCCGCCUAGGAACGCGGAGAAAAUAUGACAAAGGAACGGCCAAAAAUAAAAGAAAGACCUUUCUUUUGAAAAAACAAACGCCUCCGUGUACGGCCCGCCCAUAGCUCCUCCGACGGCCCCGCCUAGGAACGCGAAGAAAAUAUGACAAAGGAACGCCCAAAAAUAAAAAGAAAGACCUUUCUUUUGAAAAAACAAACAUUAAAAAGGAAUGCAACACGAGGACUUCCCAGGAGGUCACCAAUCCUAGUACUACUCUCGCCCAAGCACGCUUAACUUCGAAGUUCUGAUGGGAUCCGGUGCUUUAGUGCUGGUAUGAUCGCAUCCGACAUACCGUGCGUUCUCCUCCCCUUUAUGCCCGCGCCUCCGUGUACGGCCCGCCCAUAGCUCCUUCGACGGCGCCGCCUAGGAACGCGGAGAAAAUAUGACAAAGGAACGGCCAAAAAUAAAAAGAAAGACCUUUCUUUUGAAAAAACAAACAAAAAAAAGGAAUGCAACACGAGGACUUCCCAGGAGGUCACCCAUCCUAGUACUACUCUCGCCCAAGCACGCUUAACUUCGGAGUUCUGAUGGGAUCCGGUGCUUUAGUGCUGGUAUGAUCGCAUCCGACAUACCGUGCGUUCUCCUCCCCUUUAUGCCCGCGCCUCCGUGUACGGCCCGCCCAUAGCUCCUUCGACGGCGCCGCCUAGGAACGCGGAGAAAAUAUGACAAAGGAACGGCCAAAAAUAAAAAGAAAGACCUUUCUUUUGAAAAAACAAACAAAAAAAAGGAAUGCAACACGAGGACUUCCCAGGAGGUCACCCAUCCUAGUACUACUCUCGCCCAAGCACGCUUAACUUCGGAGUUCUGAUGGGAUCCGGUGCUUUAGUGCUGGUAUGAUCGCAUCCGACAUACCGUGCGUUCUCCUCCCCUUUAUGCCCGCGCCUCCGUGUACGGCCCGCCCAUAGCUCCUUCGACGGCGCCGCCUAGGAACGCGGAGAAAAUAUGACAAAGGAACGGCCAAAAAUAAAAAGAAAGACCUUUCUUUUGAAAAAAAAAACAAAAAAAAGGAAUGCAACACGAGGACUUCCCAGGAGGUCACCCAUCCUAGUACUACUCUCGCCCAAGCACGCUUAACUUCGGAGUUCUGAUGGGAUCCGGUGCUUUAUUGCUGGUAUGAUCGCAUCCGACAUACCGUGCGUUCUCCUCCCCUUUAUGCCCGCACCUCCGUGUACGGCCCGCCCAUAGCUCCUUCGACGGCGCCGCCUAGGAACGCGGAGAAAAUAUGACAAAGGAACGGCCAAAAAUAAAAAGAAAGACCUUUCUUUUGAAAAAACAAACAAAAAAAAGGAAUGCAACACGAGGACUUCCCAGGAGGUCACCCAUCCUAGUACUACUCUCGCCCAAGCACGCUUAACUUCGGAGUUCUGAUGGGAUCCGGUGCUUUAGUGCUGGUAUGAUCGCAUCCGACAUACCGUGCGUUCUCCUCCCCUUUAUGCCCGCGCCUCCGUGUACGGCCCGCCCAUAGCUCCUUCGACGGCGCCGCCUAGGAACGCGGAGAAAAUAUGACAAAGGAACGGCCAAAAAUAAAAAGAAAGACCUUUCUUUUGAAAAAACAAACAAAUAAAAGGAAUGCAACACGAGGACUUCCCAGGAGGUCACCCAUCCUAGUACUACUCUCGCCCAAGCACGCUUAACUUCGAAGUUCUGAUGGGAUCCGGUGCUUUAGUGCUGGUAUGAUCGUAUCCGACAUACCGUGCGUUCUCCUCCCCUGAAUGCCCGCGCCUCCGUGUACGGCCCGCCCAGAGCUCUUUAGAUGGGACUUCCGAUGGAAUCGGAGACAAUAGGACAAAGGAACGGCCAAAAAUAAAAAGAAAGACCUUUCUUCCGAAAAAACAAACGCCUCCGUGUACGGCCCGCCCAUAGCUCCUUCGACGGCGCCGCCUAGGAACGCGGAGAAAAUAUGACAAAGGAACGGCCAAAAAUAAAAAGAAAGACCUUUCUUUUGAAAAAACAAACAAAAAAAAGGAAUGCAACACGAGGACUUCCCAGGAGGUCACCCAUCCUAGUACUACUCUCGCCCAAGCACGCUUAACUUCGGAGUUCUGAUGGGAUCCGGUGCUUUAGUGCUGGUAUGAUCGCAUCCGACAUACCGUGCGUUCUCCUCCCCUUUAUGCCCGCGCCUCCGUGUACGGCCCGCCCAUAGCUCCUUCGACGGCGCCGCCUAGGAACGCGGAGAAAAUAUGACAAAGGAACGGCCAAAAAUAAAAAGAAAGACCUUUCUUUUGAAAAAACAAACGCCUCCGUGUACGGCCCGCCCAUAGCUCCUUCGACGGCGCCGCCUAGGAACGCGGAGAAAAUAUGACAAAGGAACGGCCAAAAAUAAAAAGAAAGACCUUUCUUUUGAAAAAACAAACAAAAAAAAGGAAUGCAACACGAGGACUUCCCAGGAGGUCACCCAUCCUAGUACUACUCUCGCCCAAGCACGCUUAACUUCGGAGUUCUGAUGGGAUCCGGUGCUUUAGUGCUGGUAUGAUCGCAUCCGACAUACCGUGCGUUCUCCUCCCCUUUAUGCCCGCGCCUCCGUGUACGGCCCGCCCAUAGCUCCUUCGACGGCGCCGCCUAGGAACGCGGAGAAAAUAUGACAAAGGAACGGCCAAAAAUAAAAAGAAAGACCUUUCUUUUGAAAAAACAAACAAAAAAAAGGAAUGCAACACGAGGACUUCCCAGGAGGUCACCCAUCCUAGUACUACUCUCGCCCAAGCACGCUUAACUUCGGAGUUCUGAUGGGAUCCGGUGCUUUAGUGCUGGUAUGAUCGCAUCCGACAUACCGUGCGUUCUCCUCCCCUUUAUGCCCGCGCCUCCGUGUACGGCCCGCCCAUAGCUCCUUCGACGGCGCCGCCUAGGAACGCGGAGAAAAUAUGACAAAGGAACGGCCAAAAAUAAAAAGAAAGACCUUUCUUUUGAAAAAACAAACAAAUAAAAGGAAUGCAACACGAGGACUUCCCAGGAGGUCACCCAUCCUAGUACUACUCUCGCCCAAGCACGCUUAACUUCGGAGUUCUGAUGGGAUCCGGUGCUUUAGUGCUGGUAUGAUCGCAUCCGACAUACCGUGCGUUCUCCUCCCCUUUAUGCCCGCGCCUCCGUGUACGGCCCGCCCAUAGCUCCUUCGACGGCGCCGCCUAGGAACGCGGAGAAAAUAUGACAAAGGAACGGCCAAAAAUAAAAAGAAAGACCUUUCUUUUGAAAAAACAAACAAAUAAAAGGAAUGCAACACGAGGACUUCCCAGGAGGUCACCCAUCCUAGUACUACUCUCGCCCAAGCACGCUUAACUUCGGAGCUCUGAUGGGAUCCGGUGCUUUAGUGCUGGUAUGAUCGCAUCCGACAUACCGUGCGUUCUCCUCCCCUUUAUGCCCGCGCCUCCGUGUACGGCCCGCCCAUAGCUCCUUCGACGGCGCCGCCUAGGAACGCGGAGAAAAUAUGACAAAGGAACGGCCAAAAAUAAAAAGAAAGACCUUUCUUUUGAAAAAACAAACAAAAAAAAGGAAUGCAACACGAGGACUUCCCAGGAGGUCACCCAUCCUAGUACUACUCUCGCCCAAGCACGCUUAACUUCGGAGUUCUGAUGGGAUCCGGUGCUUUAGUGCUGGUAUGAUCGCAUCCGACAUACCGUGCGUUCUCCUCCCCUUUAUGCCCGCGCCUCCGUGUACGGCCCGCCCAUAGCUCCUUCGACGGCGCCGCCUAGGAACGCGGAGAAAAUAUGACAAAGGAACGGCCAAAAAUAAAAAGAAAGACCUUUCUUUUGAAAAAACAAACAAAAAAAAGGAAUGCAACACGAGGACUUCCCAGGAGGUCACCCAUCCUAGUACUACUCUCGCCCAAGCACGCUUAACUUCGGAGUUCUGAUGGGAUCCGGUGCUUUAGUGCUGGUAUGAUCACAUCCGACAUACCGUGCGUUCUCCUCCCCUUUAUGCCCGCGCCUCCGUGUACGGCCCGCCCAUAGCUCCUUCGACGGCGCCGCCUAGGAACGCGGAGAAAAUAUGACAAAGGAACGGCCAAAAAUAAAAAGAAAGACCUUUCUUUUGAAAAAACAAACAAAAAAAAGGAAUGCAACACGAGGACUUCCCAGGAGGUCACCCAUUCUAGUACUACUCUCGCCCAAGCAAGCUUAACUUCGGAGUUCUGAUGGGAUCCGGUGCUUUAGUGCUGGUAUGAUCGCAUCCGACAUACCGUGCGUUCUCCUCCCCUUUAUGCCCGCGCCUCCGUGUACGGCCCGCCCAUAGCUCCUUCGACGGCGCCGCCUAGGAACGCGGAGAAAAUAUGACAAAGGAACGGCCAAAAAUAAAAAGAAAGACCUUUCUUUUGAAAAAACAAACAAAAAAAAGGAAUGCAACACGAGGACUUCCCAAAAUAUGACAAAGGAACGGCCAAAAAUAAAAAGAAAGACCUUUCUUUUGAAAAAACAAACAAAAAAAAGGAAUGCAACACGAGGACUUCCCAGGAGGUCACCCAUUCUAGUACUACUCUCGCCCAAGCAAGCUUAACUUCGGAGUUCUGAUGGGAUCCGGUGCUUUAGUGCUCGUAUGAUCGCAUCCGACAUACCGUGCGUUCUCCUCCCCUUUAUGCCCGCGCCUCCGUGUACGGCCCGCCCAUAGCUCCUUCGACGGCGCCGCCUAUGAACGCGGAGAAAAUAUGACAAAGGAACGGCCAAAAAUAAAAAGAAAGACCUUUCUUUUGAAAAAACAAACAAAAAAAAGGAAUGCAACACGAGGACUUCCCAGGAGGUCACCCAUCCUAGUACUACUCUCGCCCAAGCACGCUUAACUUCGGAGUUCUGAUGGGAUCCGGUGCUUUAGUGCUGGUAUGAUCGCAUCCGACAUACCGUGCGUUCUCCUCCCCUUUAUGCCCGCGCCUCCGUGUACGGCCCGCCCAUAGCUCCUUCGACGGCGCCGCCUAGGAACGCGGAGAAAAUAUGACAAAGGAACGGCCAAAAAUAAAAAGAAAGACCUUUCUUUUGAAAAAACAAACAAAAAAAAGGAAUGCAACACGAGGACUUCCCAGGAGGUCACCCAUCCUAGUACUACUCUCGCCCAAGCACGCUUAACUUCGGAGUUCUGAUGGGAUCCGGUGCUUUAGUGCUGGUAUGAUCGCAUCCGACAUACCGUGCGUUCUCCUCCCCUUUAUGCCCGCGCCUCCGUGUACGGCCCGCCCAUAGCUCCUUCGACGGCGCCGCCUAGGAACGCGGAGAAAAUAUGACAAAGGAACGGCCAAAAAUAACAAGAAAGACCUUUCUUUUGAAAAAACAAACAAAAAAAAGGAAUGCAACACGAGGACUUCCCAGGAGGUCACCAAUCCUAGUACUACUCUCGCCCAAGCACGCUUAACUUCGGAGUUCUGAUGGGAUCCGGUGCUUUAGUGCUGGUAUGAUCGCAUCCGACAUACCGUGCGUUCUCCUCCCCUUUAUGCCCGCGCCUCCGUGUACGGCCCGCCCAUAGCUCCUUCGACGGCGCCGCCUAGGAACGCGGAGAAAAUAUGACAAAGGAACGGCCAAAAAUAAAAAGAAAGACCUUUCUUUUGAAAAAACAAACAAAUAAAAGGAAUGCAACACGAGGACUUCCCAGGAGGUCACCCAUCCUAGUACUACUCUCGCCCAAGCACGCUUAACUUCGGAGUUCUGAUGGGAUCCGGUGCUUUAGUGCUGGUAUGAUCGCAUCCGACAUACCGUGCGUUCUCCUCCCCUUUAUGCCCGCGCCUCCGUGUACGGCCCGCCCAUAGCUCCUUCGACGGCGCCGCCUAGGAACGCGGAGAAAAUAUGACAAAGGAACGGCCAAAAAUAAAAAGAAAGACCUUUCUUUUGAAAAAACAAACAAAAAAAAGGAAUGCAACACGAGGACUUCCCAGGAGGUCACCCAUCCUAGUACUACUCUCGCCCAAGCACGCUUAACUUCGGAGUUCUGAUGGGAUCCGGUGCUUUAGUGCUGGUAUGAUCGCAUCCGACAUACCGUGCGUUCUCCUCCCCUUUAUGCCCGCGCCUCCGUGUACGGCCCGCCCAUAGCUCCUUCGACGGCGCCGCCUAGGAACGCGGAGAAAAUAUGACAAAGGAACGGCCAAAAAUAAAAAGAAAGACCUUUCUUUUGAAAAAACAAACAAAAAAAAGGAAUGCAACACGAGGACUUCCCAGGAGGUCACCCAUCCUAGUACUACUCUCGCCCAAGCACGCUUAACUUCGGAGUUCUGAUGGGAUCCGGUGCUUUAGUGCUGGUAUGAUCGCAUCCGACAUACCGUGCGUUCUCCUCCCCUUUAUGCCCGCGCCUCCGUGUACGGCCCGCCCAUAGCUCCUUCGACGGCGCCGCCUAGGAACGCGGAGAAAAUAUGACAAAGGAACGGCCAAAAAUAAAAAGAAAGACCUUUCUUUUGAAAAAACAAACGCCUCCGUGUACGGCCCGCCCAUAGCUCCUUCGACGGCGCCGCCUAGGAACGCGGAGAAAAUAUGACAAAGGAACGGCCAAAAAUAAAAAGAAAGACCUUUCUUUUGAAAAAACAAACAAAAAAAAGGAAUGCAACACGAGGACUUCCCAGGAGGUCACCCAUCCUAGUACUACUCUCGCCCAAGCACGCUUAACUUCGGAGUUCUGAUGGGAUCCGGUGCUUUAGUGCUGGUAUGAUCGCAUCCGACAUACCGUGCGUUCUCCUCCCCUUUAUGCCCGCGCCUCCGUGUACGGCCCGCCCAUAGCUCCUUCGACGGCGCCGCCUAGGAACGCGGAGAAAAUAUGACAAAGGAACGGCCAAAAAUAAAAAGAAAGACCUUUCUUUUGAAAAAACAAACAAAAAAAAGGAAUGCAACACGAGGACUUCCCAGGAGGUCACCCAUCCUAGUACUACUCUCGCCCAAGCACGCUUAACUUCGGAGUUCUGAUGGGAUCCGGUGCUUUAGUGCUGGUAUGAUCGCAUCCGACAUACCGUGCGUUCUCCUCCCCUUUAUGCCCGCGCCUCCGUGUACGGCCCGCCCAUAGCUCCUUCGACGGCGCCGCCUAGGAACGCGGAGAAAAUAUGACAAAGGAACGGCCCAAAAUAAAAAGAAAGACCUUUCUUUUGAAAAAACAAACAAAAAAAAGGGAAUGCAACACGAGGACUUCCCAGGAGGUCACCCAUCCUAGUACUACUCUCGCCCAAGCACGCUUAACUUCGGAGUUCUGAUGGGAUCCGGUGCUUUAGUGCUGGUAUGAUCGCAUCCGACAUACCGUGCGUUCUCCUCCCCUUUAUGCCCGCGCCUCCGUGUACGGCCCGCCCAUAGCUCCUUCGACGGCGCCGCCUAGGAACGCGGAGAAAAUAUGACAAAGGAACGACCAAAAAUAAAAAGAAAGACCUUUCUUUUGAAAAAACAAACAAAAAAAAGGAAUGCAACACGAGGACUUCCCAGGAGGUCACCCAUCCUAGUACUACUCUCGCCCAAGCACGCUUAACUUCGGAGUUCUGAUGGGAUCCGGUGCUUUAGUGCUGGUAUGAUCGCAUCCGACAUACCGUGCGUUCUCCUCCCCUUUAUGCCCGCGCCUCCGUGUACGGCCCGCCCAUAGCUCCUUCGACGGCGCCGCCUAGGAACGCGGAGAAAAUAUGACAAAGGAACGGCCAAAAAUAAAAAGAAAGACCUUUCUUUUGAAAAAACAAACAAAAAAAAGGAAUGCAACACGAGGACUUCCCAGGAGGUCACCCAUCCUAGUACUACUCUCGCCCAAGCACGCUUAACUUCGGAGUUCUGAUGGGAUCCGGUGCUUUAGUGCUGGUAUGAUCGCAUCCGACAUACCGUGCGUUCUCCUCCCCUUUAUGCCCGCGCCUCCGUGUACGGCCCGCCCAUAGCUCCUUCGACGGCGCCGCCUAGGAACGCGGAGAAAAUAUGACAAAGGAACGGCCAAAAAUAAAAAGAAAGACCUUUCUUUUGAAAAAACAAACAAAAAAAAGGAAUGCAACACGAAGACUUCCCAGGAGGUCACCCAUCCUAGUACUACUCUCGCCCAAGCACGCUUAACUUCGGAGUUCUGAUGGGAUCCGGUGCUUUAGUGCUGGUAUGAUCGCAUCCGACAUACCGUGCGUUCUCCUCCCCUUUAUGCCCGCGCCUCCGUGUACGGCCCGCCCAUAGCUCCUUCGACGGCGCCGCCUAGGAACGCGGAGAAAAUAUGACAAAGGAACGGCCAAAAAUAAAAAGAAAGACCUUUCUUUUGAAAAAACAAACAAAAAAAAGGAAUGCAACACGAGGACUUCCCAGGAGGUCACCCAUCCUAGUACUACUCUCGCCCAAGCACGCUUAACUUCGGAGUUCUGAUGGGAUCCGGUGCUUUAGUGCUGGUAUGAUCGCAUCCGACAUACCGUGCGUUCUCCUCCCCUUUAUGCCCGCGCCUCCGUGUACGGCCCGCCCAUAGCUCCUUCGACGGCGCCGCCUAGGAACGCGGAGAAAAUAUGACAAAGGAACGGCCAAAAAUAAAAAGAAAGACCUUUCUUUUGAAAAAACAAACAAAAAAAAGGAAUGCAACACGAGGACUUCCCAGGAGGUCACCCAUCCUAGUACUACUCUCGCCCAAGCACGCUUAACUUCGGAGUUCUGAUGGGAUCCGGUGCUUUAGUGCUGGUAUGAUCGCAUCCGACAUACCGUGCGUUCUCCUCCCCUUUAUGCCCGCGCCUCCGUGUACGGCCCGCCCAUAGCUCCUUCGACGGCGCCGCCUAGGAACGCGGAGAAAAUAUGACAAAGGAACGGCCAAAAAUAAAAAGAAAGACCUUUCUUUUGAAAAAACAAACAAAAAAAAGGAAUGCAACACGAGGACUUCCCAGGAGGUCACCCAUCCUAGUACUACUCUCGCCCAAGCACGCUUAACUUCGGAGUUCUGAUGGGAUCCGGUGCUUUAGUGCUGGUAUGAUCGCAUCCGACAUACCGUGCGUUCUCCUCCCCUUUAUGCCCGCGCCUCCGUGUACGGCCCGCCCAUAGCUCCUUCGACGGCGCCGCCUAGGAACGCGGAGAAAAUAUGACAAAGGAACGGCCAAAAAUAAAAAGAAAGACCUUUCUUUUGAAAAAACAAACAAAAAAAAGGAAUGCAACACGAGGACUUCCCAGGAGGUCACCCAUCCUAGUACUACUCUCGCCCAAGCACGCUUAACUUCGGAGUUCUGAUGGGAUCCGGUGCUUUAGUGCUGGUAUGAUCGCAUCCGACAUACCGUGCGUUCUCCUCCCCUUUAUGCCCGCGCCUCCGUGUACGGUCCGCCCAUAGCUCCUUCGACGGCGCCGCCUAGGAACGCGGAGAAAAUAUGACAAAGGAACGGCCAAAAAUAAAAAGAAAGUCCUUUCUUUUGAAAAAACAAACAAAAAAAAGGUAUGCAACACGAGGACUUCCUAGGAGGUCACCCAUCCUAGUACUACUCUCGCCCAAGCACGCUUAACUUCGGAGUUCUGAUGGGAUCCGGUGCUUUAGUGCUGGUAUGAUCGCAUCCGACAUACCGUGCGUUCUCCUCCCCUUU
rnacentral:lncRNA from 1 species